UGUAAACAGUCAAGUUUAGCAAGAUAUUUGUUUAUAUAUUGUAACUGCAGAUUAGUCCACUAGCAGAUCUGUAAGGAAAGCCUGUAAAUGUUACUAAAAAUUUGAUAUUUAAUAAAUAAACACAUCUGAUAUAAAGUUCUACGUGUUGCUGAUGAUUUCAAUGAUAGCUUAUGUACCAGGCCACUUUUCCUAUGCAACAUAAGGGUGUGACACUGUAAUGACAAAAUGGCUUUGUUACAAAAGUAUGCCUAAAUAUGUCUAAAGUAUUUGAGAAAACACACCGAACAGACCUAUGUUCCGGGUUUUGACUUGUACAAUGUGUGGUUACCAUCAUUAGUCUGAAUAGGUAAGGUACGUCAACAAUGCAUUUCGCUGAAACCACCACUGAAGUCUCAGUCAACAUCAUGGCAGCAUUAGGACUCCUAUGGCUUGUGAGCUGUGAGUAUUUUCUACUUUUCAAAUAAUACAAACAUUUUCAAAUAAAUAUUUAUGUUAAUUUCCUGAACAAAAUACUUUCCCUGAGUGUAUUCAUUUGUCCAUGCAGCCAUAGCAUCUAUCCUUGUCAAAUGUGAAGAUGCAACAUCUGAACACAAAAAGAUCUACCCAGCAAAGAUAUUUGGACCAUCUAGCGUGACUGAAGGGGUAAACAUCCAUUUUAAAUGUAGCACUACUGGCAUCAGAGGACCUGAGGACAAGUUCAAUUUUUACCUUUGCAAGAAUGGAGUUGGGAUAAGAAUUGCGCUGCUGGAGGAAGGUGAAGAUGAUGCUAUUUUCGACAUGAAGAAUGUCACACGAGAAGACUCAGGCAACUACAGCUGUGUGUACACCAGAGAUAAACUUGUACCCAGUCACUUGAGGUCAACAGGGGAUAAUUUAGUAGUCUUUCAGGUUAAUGGAGAACAGAAAGGUAAGAUUCUGUCAAUAUUAUGUUUGUAAUGAUAAGAUUGCUAUGCAUACAGUAUAUUUGUCAAUUUGUUGCAGUGCUGUUUGAAUAUUUGUAAUUCAGUCACAUUUUCAGCCAAUAUAUUGCUUUGCAAUGAAAGGCUACAUACUCUGACUGAGCAACAAGUUUAACACCAGCGUGUACUGUACACCAGAAUCUAUUAUAUCAAUGUUCUUCACAGAGGGACUAAAGAAUAUGGGAGGACAAGGGAGAGCGGGACUGGCAGCAGCCUUGGUCCUCCUGUUUCUGACGCUGUCUGUACUGCUGUUAGUGUGGAGGUACUGGGGAAUCCUGAAACAAAGUAAGUGAAGUUGACAGUCUGUUCAGUUUAGGCCAGGAAUCCAUUCUUAACACAGUGCGCUGGACAGCCGACAAUUCAGCUUUAAAAGGCACUUUCACCGCCGUUUACGGAGAUCUCAUUCACAAAACACUGCAGAUUGACCUCUCAAUCGGAAAUUCCCUUUAAAUGUCAACCAAGCAAUGUGGAAUUUGUCAUUUUGAUAAACUAAUCUGUAAAGAGUCAAGUUUAGCAAGAUAUUUGUUUAUGUAUUUUAACUGUAGAUUAGUCCGCUAGCAGUUCGCAUUCACAAAACACUGCAGAUGACGGCUCAAUCGGAAAUCCCCUUUAAAUAUCAAGCAAGCUAUAACGCAGAUCCAACGUGGAUAUUUGAAUCCCGGCCUUACAAUCACCAUGUCUAGCUAUGUGACAUGGUGGGGAAAGUGAACAAAUGCUUGAUGUUAAGUGUCGAUGUAUUUUAACACAAUGCUUUAAGUCAUUCCUUACUGUUGCUUUCUGUUACAGUGAUAAGCAUUGACCAUCAACCAAGGUAUAGAAAACCUACCAAAUUAAAACAAAAUACUACUUGAUUUAUCAAUGUCCACAUUGUUGAGACAGGGCAACAAAUAUCUGUAUUCUUCCCUCAGUGAGAAUCAGGAUACGGAUCAAACAUACAGUCUACUCUCAGUUGUACCAGGUAUUGUAUAUCAGUUCAUAUUUUUACAUUGCAUAUUUUGCAUCACAUAUUGUUCCUUUCCUUCAUUUCUUUAAGAACUAAGUCAUAAUGUAUGUUUUCUGUCUUUGAUUUCCAUAUCCUGGAUGUUUUAGUCGCAGCUGGUGUAAUGUAAGUUUCUCUUCAGCACCAUUUUCUUUUUUUAAUGGGCAAUUUUGCUAUUUCACCAUACUAUUGAGAUGACACCGUUUUCAUAAAAGUGUCAAAAGCCCGGGUUAGUUUUCCCUAUUUUGGUAAAGAAAAUCUCAGAUAUGCAGUAUCUUUGAUGAAACAAUGAAGUUACCAUAUAGGUUUAGUAUGUAUUUUUAAAGAGUAGUUUUCAUACAAUAACCCUUUUCAUAGUCUAAGAUGAUAUCCCUUUUCCAUGACUUCUGUAAGUUGUUUACAAUGGUGUCAAUGUCUUGUCUGUAGUGAGGUCCCCUUUGAUGGUGAGGAAGGACACUAUUCUAUGAUAGGUGAGUGGAGAGGUACAGUUUGUCUAAUCAUGACAUUAUUAAUAAUACCCUAGCUGAGAAAACACUUUGUUUAUGAUAUACUGUAUCUGACUAUUAAGAAAGACAUUCUAAUACAGGGCUGGAAUCGUCAGGGAGACUACGGUAAGACAUUUUAGUAACUACCACAUUAUUUCUAAAGAUAUGACACAAAUAAUAAUAUUUCAUUUGUAAAGUGCAUUUCCCACACUCAAGAUGCACAAAUGAUCAAUGAUAUAUGCCAAAUGAUCAAUGAUAUAUGUAAUAUUUCCCUUACACAGAAAGAAUCCUGAGCCCUUGGGUUUACAAGGUGUGUCAGGUAUGUAUGCAAUCUCAUAGUUGUUCCUCUCUUUUCUGGAGUCCCUUAGACUUUACAGUACAUACAACUGAUCUCAGUUUUAUUCCCAGCAGGCAUGGGAUCGGUGGUUCAUCAGUAAGUCUGAAUCCUGCUCUUACAUUUCCUUCAGUAUCAGGGACAUUAACGAGGUGUAUUGUUGAUAUUUCUCUAAUUACAUAUUUACAUGUCUGAGUUUGAAGUUCAUUUUCUGUUUCUGUAGCUCUCCAACUGAUCCUACAGGAGAUGAGGCUCUGUACAGCGUAAUAACUAGAGGUAGGUACUAAAAAAGAAACCAGUAGAAUAGUAUACGUACAUGUAUAGUAUAUAGUGUAUAUGUACUGUCUGAUGGGUUACAAAGGUAGGUUCACAUCAUACCUAUUUUUGUCUGUUGUCUGUUAUACUGACUUAGAGGCAGCCCUGAGCAUCCCACGUAACCAGAUACUACACAGGUUGAUGAAUGUUUAGCCACAUACACACAGAGACCAACAGGCCUGCAGACAGAGGAAGGCAAUGUGAGCAAAGACUCAUAACACAACUCAAGUCCCUCACCACUCAAACCACAGUGCACUGACGCAGCUAUAUUUAUAGAAAGAUGCACUUAACUGUAGCGAUUUGGUUUUCCACAGACACUUAAUUCUCAGAACACUCAGUUAACUUUCUCUACAUACAGUGUCCAGCAUGUUUGACUAAAUCUAGCAACCUCUCCCCUCAGUGAAAAGACCAGAACAGCAAGGUGAAACUGCCAUCUAUGCCAAAGUGAAAACAAGGAAGGAGAAAGAAAAACAGGAUCCUGUUUACAGUCUGUCAUUACAAAUACAGUAGUGCUAUACAGUAGUAUAUGACAUGUGAAAUGACAUGACAGAACAUGUGGUUUAUCUGCCUUUUUGGUCAUAGAAGUAUGGGGAUAGUAAUACUGUGCACCUAGGUGUAUGCUAAGAUGUGUUUUUUUAAAUACUGCUUUGGUUUUGAACAUAUUACUCUUUGAUGCAGUCUGCAGUCUGGGUGCUAUCUUUGAGCCUAGCAAAGAUGUAGAGGACAUUAUUCCACCUUUUAUUCAAUAAAAACAAACCAAGCUUGAAAUGAACGCAAUAUAAAUUCAAACAAAGUGUUAGCCAAUGUUUUCCACGUGUUUGUUAUGCCAACAUGGAAGUAUGAAUUAAGACACAAAAUGAAUGAUAAGACGAGACCGAGACAUGCAUAGAGAAAGAGACAAAGGAGAAUGUGUGGCAGGCUAAUGUGGUUACAGUGUUUCUAUAGAAAGCUCAGUCUAAUGGGAGAGGGAGACAGAGCUUAGUAAUAGACAAGCCACUAUCAUCAUGUCUCCCAGCAGAGGGGGAGGAGAAGUGGAGAGGAGGGAAAGAGUGGGAGGCUGUCUGCAACAUAUUACCAUUUCUCCACACACACCAUGACCCAGGGGCUAGGCAGAAGAGAUUGAUUUUUUUCCUCCCAGCAUUUUCCAUUUGCUGUCACUCUCACAAGGCAUCGUCAUCAUAGACCCAUGUCACACACCAGAUGGUUUCACUCCUACGUGACGCUCAUCCCUCAACUCAAUAGUGCAGACGGCCGUUCCGCUAUCUGACGUGAGACAAUGCAUAAUAGACAUGAUGGAGUUAUGUGGCUCACAGACAUGCAUACACACACAGACACACACACGAACACAAAAACACAAACAAACACACAUACACACAAAAUAACAUCUCAAAAUCGAAAUAUUCUCAUCCCACAGGUACUCCAGCUACUGUAGUAUCAGGGGAAUGGAUGCUGUAUAUUAGACAAGCUCUCAAUACACACAUACAGAUGCACACUCCUCCACCCCUAUUAACCCUGACAUUAAACCUGAAGCAACAGUCUGAAGCUACCUUAGUUAGACGCAUGGCUGAGGCAGCCUCGCUGCUAGCCACUGUCUGUGGGGAGAGAACGAGAGAGAACAACAGCAGUGUGCUGGAUCUAUGUAGGUAGAGCUGCUGGGGCAGGGCUUGCAGUGUAGACACUUGGCUGUGGAUGGGCUACAGGCUGCAGGGAGUGUGCUGCUGGGGAAGAUAACUGGUAGUGAUUAGUGAUCAGACUCUUCUGGGAGAGAGAGGGGGGCUGGUUUUCCCUGGAGGAGGUUGAGGAGGAGGAAAAGGAGGAGAGAGAGGAGAGAGAGUGCACUACCAUUCAUUUAGAGGCAGCAGCAAGGGACUGAAGCAUCGCCUAUCUGAGCUGAGGGAAUAUGGGGGAAUACUAGAGAGCAGCGCUGCCUGUCUGUCUGUCGAUACUGCCUGGACUCUCACGCUGCAUCUCGGAUAGAUUGUGUGUUGAGUGGAUGAUAGGAAUAGAGGAUGCAGAUCUGAUAUGCACAGUAUGUCUGUUUGUGAUCAUAUGUGUAUUGGUUUGUGUGUGUUCACUACAUCCAAGCAGGUGAGUGUAAUGUGUUGGCAUGUACACUGUUGUGCAUGUGUGUGUA
rnacentral:lncRNA from 1 species